rnacentral:tRNA from 1 species
UAUUAGUUAGUGUAAAAGCACAUCAAAAUUUGAGUUUGAGGGAUUUAGUUUAGUUCUAUUAC